GAUGAACGCUGGCGGCGUGCUUAACACAUGCAAGUCGAACGGAAAGGCCCAAGCUUGCUUGGGUGCUCGAGUGGCGAACGGGUGAGUAACACGUGGGUGAUCUGCCCUGCACUUUGGGAUAAGCCUGGGAAACUGGGUCUAAUACCGGAUAGGACCAUCGUUUAGUGUCGGUGGUGGAAAGUUUUUCGGUGUGGGAUGAGCUCGCGGCCUAUCAGCUUGUUGGUGGGGUAAUGGCCUACCAAGGCGUCGACGGGUAGCCGGCCUGAGAGGGUGUACGGCCACAUUGGGACUGAGAUACGGCCCAGACUCCUACGGGAGGCAGCAGUGGGGAAUAUUGCACAAUGGGCGCAAGCCUGAUGCAGCGACGCCGCGUGGGGGAUGACGGCCUUCGGGUUGUAAACUCCUUUCGCCAAGGACGAAGCGUUUUGUGACGGUACUUGGAGAAGAAGCACCGGCUAACUACGU
rnacentral:rRNA from 1 species